rnacentral:lncRNA from 1 species
GAUGUGCACAUGGAGAGCACAGCUGUGGGGCUGCACAGAUCUGCCCUGUGCUGGGAAAACGAUUCUGCAGAGCCAUGAGCAAGGGAUGCUUCAGGUGUGUGCAAAGGAGAUGUGAGGAAGGGGAUGUGCACAUGUCUGUGUUGUGCCCAACCAUGAAGGAUGUCCCGUUCCCUCCCAGCUGCUGGCAGUGUUACACUCACCUAACUCCCUUGCCUGACUGUGUCCGGGGCUGAAUUUCACUCAUGCAGCUCUCUGGGCAGAAGUGCUGCCUGUUUGGCUGUUAUGUGCAGCCUGGCAAAUCUGGCCUCUGAGUAAUUAACCGAGUUUUUGACAAGCUGUGCCAACAGGAAGGCUUUUUAGAUUGGAUGCAAGCACCUUAAGGUCAAAUUCACUUUUGUCCCUGCAACCUUAACGCUUCUCCAUACAUUUCCAUCCUGUGCAUUGAAUGGAAAAGAUAUCAUGUGAGCAUGUAAUUACAGACUGUAUUAUAGUGCAAUAAUUCCUCCGCGAGACAGCUAAAGACUAACUGAGAGCUAAUCUAUCCAAAACCAAUAUCAUAGCUCCAGCACAGGCUGGACUCGGGCCAGAUGGGAACCGGGAACAGCUUUUGUGACAUUGAUGAAUGCGAUGUAGCUGCCGAUGGAUGGAGAGCAGACAACUUGUAUCCUUCCAGACCACUCCAGCGGUCAGUCCUGUGCCACUGUCCUGCUUGAAGGAAGAUGAGUCCAGGACACACAACAACUGCAGGGUACUUUGUAUAGUGCCACAGGUCAUGCCAUACCUGUACCUGAUGCACAUGCAUUGCUUUGGGACAAAAGUAAGGAGUGCAGAGCUGGAGCACAGGCAUUGCAGCAGCACCCAGCCCAUUUGGACUCAUGGUAGCUCCCAAGGUACGUGGGAGAGGCAUGCAGCACCUCGUUAUCAGCCUGCCAGGGCUGGACAGGACAUCUGCAGAGCCACAGGUGUGUGCAGCAUUGCUUAUGUAUUCACCUGAUACGUGCAUCUCAGCAGUGCUCGGUGGGCCUUUAUUACAAUGCUGGCAUAGAGUGCUGUUGCUAAAGCUGUCAGGGCUUAUAUCACUUGAAAAAUAAUUGUCCAGUCUCUGAGGACCUGGGUAGUGCUUAACACAACCGUUUUUCUAGGCCAUAAUAUAAAGCAUGACAUUGAUGUACUGCUACUGCACCUCAUAACUGAAUUCUAGGGCCCGCGUUCCUCAGGUUUAUUAGGGACGUUCAGAUUGAAAUUGCAAAUCUCCAUGCAAAGC